UGAAGAUGUAUUGCUUGUGUUUGGAGUGUGCUGCCAAGCUGUUUGAUUUGCAGCUUUAUAGGAAGCAUUUUGAUGGGAGGGAAGAGACUUCAGUUUUCAUGUCUGUUGACAUUCCUUCAGUGUGAGCUGCUGCAUUUUUCUGCUUGCUUCUGCUUACUGCCUGACUCCACAUGCAGCUGGCUGGUGUGUGCUGUAAUUGUCACCACUCUCGAUAGUCUGUCUUUGGUUUGCUCUCUGAGGGUGCUCUGAGCUUAUGAUUGCUUCCCAUGCACAUCUUGAGUCUCUCAGUGACACAAGAAUGGGCCAAAAUGUUCUGACCUCUCAACAAAGGUGUGCCUGAGUCUUUGUCACUGUCACUUCUGAAGCACAGUGACACACUCUGAACUUAGUCCCUUUGCCACAGCUUGAGCUAAAUGCUGAGCUGUUAUGCUUCAGCGUAGAGAGGAUACGAGAAGCCUCUCUGCUACAAAAUGGCAGUGGAAAGCCAGAGGGGAGGGCAGACGACCUGAUAGGGAACAGCUGUAUCGUCUUAUGCUCAUCACAUACAGCACAAAGUGAGUAAAGACAGAUGACUGUGAGGUGUUUCUUAGGGUACCAUCUUUGCUUGGCCUUGAGGUUUCAUCUUACCAUUAGAAAACAGUAAAUCACUGUGUUUGUGGCUGCAAAAUUGUGUUUACAUGUGCACACACUGUACAGCCCUUCAGUACUCCUCUGGCAGCCUGUCUUACAGCUGCAUAAGGAACAAAUGGAUUUAAGUUUUGGAAGGCCUUCAGAACAGUGCAGUGGUGGCCUUUCUGCCUCUCCUGGAAGUCUGGCUCUCUAUUAUCUGUCUUUUGGGUUAAUGACAGUGCUGUGGGAGUGCUGAGAGGGGUUUCUGAGCUGAAGGAAGCCGUGAUCCGACUCUGACUCUCACUGGAAUGGGGUGAAGGAAGCACACGUUGAAGUUUUGGUGCAAUUAAUUACCAAGAAUGGUGUAUGGCUGAUAGGCCAUGUCAUCAGUUGCAUUUGUCUGCUGUCUUCUGGAAGGACACAAAUGAACCUCUGCAUCAGAGGGCUCUAAUUGGAUACAACUGCGGGUUUUGUUCGGCUUCAAGGUCUGUAUGUUGCAGCUCAGGAAGGCUGCCAAGAUCCCCCAGUUGUUAACAAGAAUGUCAUUCCUUGUAGAUGCGAGACUCCCUUCAGCCUGUGUUUGCUGGAGAAUCUGCAGAUUCAAAGCAUCCCACCAUGAAGACAAUCAGCCUCCAUGGGCUGAACUUCAGAGCACUCAGGCGAGAAGGCCACUCCACCUCUUUCCAUCCCUGGGAGUCUGCACUGCUGAGCCAGAUACCUGCAGCCAGGCAGACUGGAUGCCGUUGUUUCAGUGCUGCCCCAGCUUGCAGCUCCAGGAAGCAGGGACACCAGGUAGGUGUGUGGGGAUGGGGGCUCCAGCCCAGAAAGGUCAGGAGGUAACAGCAGCACCAAAGGCAUUGCUCGCUCUGAGACUAACUGAUAUAACACACCUAGCCAUAAAAAUAACUCUGAGUGCCUUUAUUUUUAGAACGGAGCUCUUAAAGUGUUCUUGCAUGAAGACCUGUCUCUUAGGAAUGCAAUAAAACAAAGUUAGCAGCUGGAGCUACCUUGUUAAAGUGAAGUUUUCAGGAAACACAGAGCUCAUGCUUUGAUUUUCAGCUCUACCUCCUACUAACUUAAUUUGAAAAUAGUUAUUCUUCACUUAUGGGGAAAGCACAAACUAAGAUCAGUUACUAAAUUUAAACACCCACAAGCAUUUAUAGGGAGCAUCUGACUUCUAUCUGGUUGGUUUGUUUUUUCACGUAGGGUGAAAGUUAGCUUCUGUACGCAGUUCUGCUUUGGAAAUGAGACCGUCUAUGGGUAAUUUUAUCUUAGACACUUUUAUGUCACCCCAUUCUCCCACUCUACAGUAGAGUAUAGGUGUGCUUUCUGACCCCUCUGCCAUCGUAUUGAAAGCAUACAUGUUCUUAUACAUCGUAUCCCUCCCAACUCUCCAGGCAGUGGCAGCAUCUCAUGCACAUGGAUAUAUACCACUGUCCCAACAUCUUUGUCCGGUGUCCAUCUGGAAGCAGAAUCCAUGGAUUUGGAGUGUCAGAUUCAGAACUCCAGGCUUAGCAACAGAAGCUUUCCUUGAGCAUGGAUUAUGAGAAGCUCAUGGAUUAUCAGGCAGAUUUCAGAAUCAAAUUACCAUAACAAGGAAAAAAAAAAAGAUAUAGAAUUUGGCACCCGAAUUUAAGUUUGAUUUUAGCUGGGGGCAGAAAUACGUGACAAAAAGCCUUGUGAGUCAUUUAAUAAACCAAGCAUGAGUUUCACAAGCCCCUGCGGUUUCCAUGCUUAUUCUUUGAGACUUUCAUCUUGGCCUGGAGCAGCACUCCUUUGUGACUUUGCAGGGCCCCAGAGCCUGCUCGAGUGCUUAUCCACUCAGAAAUAAAACAAACAUUCUCCCAUCUACAUUAAUUGAAUGUUCAGCUCUCAUUCCUAGCACUUGGCUCUCUACGCUUUAAUGUUUCUCGAGUGCUCUUGACUUUAUCACAGCAUUUGCCCUGUUGAGCUGCUGGUGAGCUCCAAGGGGAACAAAAUCUGCUAAUCCUAUAGACGUGAGUUGAAUGGGAACGCAUCUGGCUACAAAGCAAGGAAGUGCUUUCCUGUGGUGAGGAAGUGCUCAGCUCAGGGCCCAUUGUCUGGCUUUGCAAAGAUGGGCACAGAAAUCUCUUUGGUCGGUUCUUUGCCUCUGUGCUCCAUCCCCUGAUGCUGCACCCUGCCCUCUCUGCUUAGCAGACCCUCUGCGGCAGUCGGCAGAGUGCAGACUGCUCUCAUCUCUCCCACCUUAUCUGCCAUUCCUGUGUAGGUUUUACUUCAAUCCUCCCUUCCUGCUUUUCCCCUCAACCCUUUCUCUCCUCCUCCCUCUUUCUGUGGAAACAAAUGUACAGUAGGUGUCUCUUGAACUUGCCUGAACUCCUUGUCCCAAGCACCUUCCUGACUAAUCCUUUCCAGAUGUCCAGGAACUUUUAUGUUUAGCAGCUCUGCUCGAGUUCCUCAUUCAUUCUCAGAUGGAGCAAACCUUCUAUUUCCUAAAAUUAUUUGAAAAAUAAGGCUGAUCUUGGCCUUCUGUGAAACAACCUUAAAGUAUGGCAUUAUGAGCACCACUGCAGCCCCCUGCACCCAAACUGGAGCACGGUAAGCAUUCGUAAGUAGCACUGUGAGCUUGGUUUUCCACAUAUGACUGCUCCAUGGCUUUCUAUGAAGUUCUGAAAGCACUCACUACUGCACUUGCACCCAACCAAGGGGCAGGGCUGUCGUCUUGCAACCUCCCGGUAGCAGCAGCAUUAGGAGAUCUGUUAGCUAUCAUUGGACAACAGCAAGACAACAGUGGAAACCGUGUUUCCUGUCUUAUCCUCUCAUCCUGUUCCCUGAAUAAGUUUGCUUUUGGGGAGGUGGCUGUUCCUUCAGACUGGGAUAUGCCUGGUGGCUCCCUUUGCUCGCAUCUCCUAUUUUCAAGCUGCAUGCAGCCUCAUUGCCUGUAAUGUUCAGCAGGAGCUUCUGAGGGGAAAGGGCAGUCUGUUGCCCCAGGGCAUGAUGAGGUCUGUGAGGCUGGAAGUAAUGAAUGGGUCAGUUUGCAAUCCUGGAGAACAGCUCUUCAGCACAGCCCCUGGCUUGCCUUGGGGACACAUCCCAUGCUUCCCUGUGGACAUCCCUUGGUUCUCCUCCCUUUCCCACUCUGCUUUUCAUCUGUUCUUCAUGCUUGCUGUUCAGCAAGGCUUGCCUUGUGUUUGGGAUAUUAGAAAGCUUUGGGCUGUUCAGUGGCCUUGGAAAAUUGCUGUCUUUUUCCUUCCAUUUGUCCUUACUUUGGGGUUCACCUCGGCAUGUUAUGAGUUGACUGCAGAAUAGUGGAGAGAGGAUUUCCGUUAACCCAGAGACUUGCUAUGAGGUGGUUGGUGCCAUUGGUGGUCCAGCAAUGGGUAAGAGCUGGUAGGAUCAACCUGUUUUGUUCUGUGCUCCCUGCCAGCCCCACAUCCACCACUGCCUUUCCACACAACCAGAGCUUACAGAACAGUACAUAGAUCUUUAAUCUCACAGCGCAGUGAGCUCUGUGGGGUUUGGUGCUCCUCCUCCUGCUGCACCACUGCUCCUUCCUCACCAGGAGCUGACACAGGAUGGCUCCCGGUCCUUUUUCCUGCAGUCCAGACAGUCUCUGGGCCACCUGGGGAAGGAGAAUAAAGAAUAUCAAGCCGGUAAGUCUCCUAGCCAUUCUGCUAUGUGAGGAAUGAAUCCAAGAGCCUUUGCAGAUGAUUAAUCUUUUCAAUCCUAAGAAAGCAAAUGAUCUCCUCCCGCUCCCAUAAAUUCAAUCUCUCUCUCCCGCUCCCCCUCUCCAGUGUUUGAACUGCUCGCCAAGAGCUUUAUUAAAAACUACAAGAUGCAGUUUUGUUUCUAACCGAAUCCCAAACAACUGUGUUAGGUGGAGAAGAAACAUUUGGUGCAGUCAGCUUUAGAGCAUUUUUGUGUAUAGUCCAUAGCCACUUGUCAGUCAGAGACCAGAGUCAGCUUUGCACCAAGCUUAAUAGGACCUUUUCUCUUCUCUCCUGAGAUUAGGAGAUGAAUUCAAGCUGGUCAGACCUUUUGGUCUCGUUUCAAAGAGUGCCUGGCAGCGAUUGCUGGGAGUAACCCAUGUGGCAAUCAUGGCACAGUGGAAAGGAUGCAGUCUGUGGGACCUCGGCAUGCUCCGAUAACGCCCCAUUCUUUCCUGACUCUGUGCUGAAAAAGCAGUGCUGCUCCACGGAGCGCAGCCAGCUCCGGGAACAAACUGUGCUGUGCAGCAGCGAGGUCCCAGCCGUCUUCCUGUUGAUUCCCCUUUCUUGACUUCCAAGGGGGAGAUUGCUGAAGAUGCCCCAAACCCUGCUGGAGCCUUCCUGAUGUCUGCAGGAGGUGUGAAGCAGCAGGUGGUCGUCCUGCUGGUGCUGUGCCCCAGGAGCUGCACCCAGGGGUGUGUCGGGGCAGUUCGGGGUCCCAGGGUGAGGUGCACUCCGAGCCGCCAGCUGCCGUGCGUCACCGCCAUUCCUUGGCACCAUGCACAGCGUGUCACAGCCUUCUCCAUUUCAUUUCUUAAUGUUCCCUGGGUCUGAAAUCCAUCAACCAGCGCUGAGAAAAAACAUACGAAGAGGAAGCCAAAGCAGAAGUAAGCAAAGCUGUUCUGUUGGCUGAAUUCCUCCGGCUCGUUGUGUCCCGCUACUCGGAUUGAGUCACAACAGGCACUCCUGCUUUGUGCACCUGAAUGUGGGGAGAAGGCAGAGGUGGCAACGGCACUCUUCCUUGCUGCCACUGGCAGAGAGCACUGCAUCCCUGUUUUGGGAUCCAUCACAGUGUGGGAGGGAUUGGAAUUUUGGAACAACUCCUAUGAUUUUUGGUCUUUUGGGUGCCUGAGAGAUAACAUGCACUGUUGGUGUUCUUUCCUUAUGUGCUUCCUGUCUUCCUCUUCUCAUGGAGAAGCUGAAAUGACAAAGAAGUUUAAGCAGAGAUGAAGAGAAAGCAGAAAUUUGGGGACCGGCCCGUCAGGACUUGUUCAGGCCUCACUGAUUUGCAGUCUGAAGCAGCGACGCGGAUCUGCAGCGUAUCCUGAGCCUCAUUUCUCAACCUUUGAGGGUUAUUUGAGGGAUCUUUGGUCCCCGGUGAGGCUGAGUCAGAAAAGCCAUCUCUGCACAGACAGGAGGGGGAUUAAGUCAGGUCCUGCUUCCCCUUUUAAGCUGCAGGAGAUACCAGCGAGGCCGUUCCCAUGGGACAGAGAUUAUCUCAUUGCUUUUGCUGGAAACGUCUGAGGGAUGCAGCGCAGGGAGAUGAUGGAUGGCUGUGAAACAUGAAGCGUGGAUCCAAGGGAUGGCUCUGCACACGCUUUACAUUUGCUUAAGCCAGAGAAGGACGUGGAUAUGCCGACUACCUGAUAAAGGUCUUUAAUCCUACAGUUGGACUUUCUGUGGGGUUGCAGGGAGCUUUGCUCCUUAUCUAUCCCGGAAUGUUACUGAUGUCGUGGACUCCAGCAAAGGUGAAUGUCCCAAUUUCAGGUCAAGUUGAUGCUGAUAGGGGUGCAGCUGUGGGAUCUGAAACGGAUUAAGGCCGGCUAUAUGAAUUUCAUAAAUAGUAAUACUAAACCAGUGCACACCUUAGGCUGAUAUUAAACAGGGGAUGAGUUGGUAUUCAUCCUUAAUAGCGAAUGCAUUAUAAUGAAAUGGAAACAUCAGGUUUUACUUACAAAGCCCAGGUUUCCCAUAGGAGGCGGUUUAUGGAGUGACCAUUUAUUAAAGACAAAUGCUAUCAUUCGAAACAUAUCUCAUGUAGAGAGGGGGACGGGCUGAUUCGGAGGAGCGGUAAUGAGAGCCGGAGCUUUGCAUUUACAAGGCAUUGAUGGAAGCAGGCUGAGCAUCAAGGCAAGGUGCACUGUCCCCCUGAGCCUCAGCAGCACUGCGAGGUGCUGAGCGCUGAGCCCCGACCCCAAAACCGAAUGGUAACACAUAUCGAGCAGCAGGCAGAAAGCAAAGCCGGUUCUCUCGAGUCAGAGCAGUCAUGUGCUUAAAAUAAGUCCAUCUUGGAGAGGAGCCAUCACCUCAGCAGGGCUCUGGGGGCUGAGCAGGGCUGGGGUGCUAAGCUCUGCUCUCUGCACUGGAAAUCCCCAGAAAUACGAGCUGGCUGCUGCUGAAUGGCUCCGGGUCUGCGUGAUGCUGUCUGAAGGAGCAGGCAAGAGAGCGCCAGGGGUUGUGCUCCAUCCUGUCGUUGCCACGUGGGUGGGUAACUGCGUCCUCAGGUUUUGCUUGUUUCAUCUUUGUGGUUUUGUCAUUCAUUGGGAAUUUCCAGCUCACGGCUGCCCUACGUACACACAGUUCACAGCUCUGGUGCGCUCUGAAGCACUAUGAUUCAUUCAAGUGGAAGGAGAAUGCGCAGAGCACCCUCAGGCCUGGGCCCAGGAGGGCAGUGCUGAUGGUAGCAGAGGGCACAGUGCCUCUUCUGCACACUCAGAGGCUUCUGUGACCUGAGGAGCGUACACAAAAAGGAAGGGAGAUCCCCCAUGUUUUAAUGUGCUCCUGCUGAGGGAUGCCAAUGUCAGCACCCACAGCCACAGCCCUUCCAAAGCCACAUGGCUUCCCUUUCACUUCAUGAGUUAGUGAUUUGGAAUUGCAGGGCAAAUGUUAAAUGUUAACAACUGCUGGUAAAGUCACAUCUGCAGAUCGUUUUGCUGUUCACCUGGAAAGAAACAGCUCUCAUUCAAUUAAUCAAAGAAGUAUAUGGUGGCUUUCUGGAUAGAUGCUGGCACCCUGACAGGACGAUGCUGUUCGUUCUUUGGGAUUGAAUCAGAAAUCCAGGAUGAGGACAUCAUUUGGAGGAAGUGGCAGAGCUCCCAGAGGUCAGCGGCUCCAUUUGGGAAGGCCUGGGAGAAGCUUCAGGUUCCUUCAGGAUGGAGAGGUUGGGAGCUCUGUCUCUGUUCAUCGUGCUGUGCGUAGGAUGGGUAACCAUGGACCAGGUUAAGUGCAGAACGAGCAUGGCUUGUGGCUGCAAAGGGAGAAACGUGGCCUGAAGUGGCUGCUAUAGGGACAGUGGGCAAGAGCAAAGAAGUCCUGAGCAGGGUCUGACUCCUGAAGAAGAAAGCAAGCAACCAAAUGUGUACCCCCUGCCAGCCCUGGGGAGGUGGCUGUGCCAGCAGCAGGGUGCUGCCGUGCAUCUGUCCCAUUUGCUGGCCUGUGCCAUCAGGAGGUGAGGUGCAGACCAGCAACAGUGAGCGGCCGGCUUUGCUGCCGUGCCACAAACCAGCUGCAAUCAGCUCCAGUGCGAGCCAGUCCCAUUGCAGAGCUGCUUGGCUAAAAUUAGAAAUGCAAUUGAGAUCAGGCUAGAAAAUGGAUUGCUUUUUUUCAUAAAGCAAAGCAGGUGCCAAGCACCUGUGUGGAAAUGCACGGCUGUUUAGUGCUUCGCCUCCAUCCAGUGCUGGAGAGACAGCAGAGCAGGUCCUGGGGGCAAAGGUGAGGGGGGUUCUGGUAUGCUCAGCAGUCAUUGCCUGGUAUCUCUUAGUGAGAGCAUGGAAUUCUCUGUGUGUUACAGGUGGCAUGUCUGUAUGCAUGUCUGUAUGCAAUGCAGCUGGGGGAGAACACCCAUCCACUCUGAGCCUGCUGCCCCAGCAUGGUGGGGAAUAGGCAACAGUUCCCAGAAGGGCAAAUUGUAACUACUGAGAGACCUCCUUGAUGCGUUAUCCUCACAUCUGGCAGGGAGAACAGAGGGGCAAGGGAAAUGCAUUGCCUGUCUGCCUCUGCAGCUCAGACAGGCUGGUGACAGCUCCGCAAUGUAAAUGAUGCGCUUUAAGCCCUAAAUAAAGUGUGAGGAACGUGUUUGGGAUCAGUAAAUCCAUCCUGACAAAAAGAAGCAAAGGAAUGAAAUCCCUUUUGCCAAACAGACUGGUAAGUCCAGGGACUAAAUGGAAUCUAGUCCCACUGAAAAAUGGCUUCUGGAGAUGGAUGGCUGCGAUCUCUCUGCUCUCAUCAGUGGCAUUUACCAGGCUAAGGGAGCAGGGAGGCUUUGGAAAGGGUGAGGCUGGGGAAUGGGGUCACAUUCCCCUCCUCAAAAUGCUGAGUUCAUUGCGUUUAUAACAGUGUUCCCCCAGCAGCAUUAAUCACCUGCGAGGGGUGGCUGCAGCCAAACAUCCCUGCUGGCCUUCAGCAGACUGGGGCCUUCCUUCUGCUUGUAAGUGGUAGACUUAAGAUAAGCCCAGCGCCUCUUAAAUACGCCUGCCUCUGAAUAAACAAAGCAGUAUGAUGUGUUACAGGCUGUACUGCUGCAAACUGUCCAGCUGAGGAGCAGGAGGGGACUCAGUGCAUUUUGUUGGUGCUGGAAAGUCACCUGUCUGCAGAGGAGGGCAGGCUGCAGGGCCACCAGCCAGCUUGCUCAGACAGCAUGGAAAGCCUCAAGGCAAUAACAGAAGGCAAACAGCAUUGGAUAAGUGCAGGGGGCAGCCCAGAGCGAGUGUGAGCUGAGCACAGGUCUGGCACUGCACAGCUCAGGGUCUGCUCCCAAGGAAGGACAGCAGCCCUGGGCUCGGUGGAAACCUGAUGCUAUGCUGCUUGCGUGAGCUCUGUGCUGCCCAUUUCCCAGCAGGUUUCUGUGCCCACUCCCUCUGCUGAGCCACCUUUCCCAGGAGAUUCCUAUCUUGCAGGAAAGCUCUUCAAACAAGCCAAGCAUCUGGACAAGGCCUGUGGGCAACUGCUGCCUGGCAGCUCAGGGGAGAAUCAGCAGCUGUCCUCCCACAUGUGAAAGAAAGCAUUGGUGAUGAGGCUGAGCAUCACAUCUGAAUCAGCCCAUCCACCCCUCCUCUGAAAGAUGCUCCAAGCUGCUCUGGUGCCAAAGAGCAAGCCUGGAGAGCAUUUGGGUGAGAAAUCAGUAAUGCUGAUAAGGCAGAAUUGCCUGCAAACAGGGCGCAGCCAGGCAGACAUAGGCAGGGGACUGGGAGAGCAGGAGGCAAUGGCUCUUCCUGGGCCUGAAUAAAGCCUGUGAGUUUUUAACCAGUCUGUUGCAUGUUCUUUGUUGCCACUGCAUUUGAACAGAGGCAAAAAUCAGGCUGCAGGCAUUGCCUUGACACAUUGCACUGUGCUGCUGCUCCCAGUAUCCAUAGGCUGCAGCCCGGCCCUCCUCAGCCCCUGCAGACCCCAUUCCCCCUCCAGGCUCUGCUGUUUUGGUGCUGUGGGUCAGCAGUUGCCAUCCCAUGAUGUGGGGCCGCGCUGCCAGCGCAAGAUGCAAGGCUGGGUGCAGGAGGCUGCCAAGACACCUCACCAGAUGCUUCUUGUCUCUUUGUUCCUCUGAAA
rnacentral:lncRNA from 1 species